rnacentral:rRNA from 1 species
UACGUAGGGUGCGAGCGUUGUCCGGAUUUAUUGGGCGUAAAGAGCUCGUAGGCGGCUCGUUGCGUCGGCUGUGAAAACCCGCAGCUCAACUGUGGGCUUGCAGCUGAUACGGGCGGGCUGGAGUUCGGUAGGGGAGACUGGAAUUCCUGGUGUAGCGGUGAAAUGCGCAGAUAUCAGGAGGAACACCGGUGGCGAAGGCGGUUCUCUGGGCCUGUACUGACGCUGGAGGAACGAAAGCGUGGGGAGCGAACAGG